UACGUAGGCAGCGAGCGUUGUUCGGAAUUACUGGGCGUAAAGAGUGUGUAGGCGGCGCUCUAAGUUCGGUGUGAAAUCUCUCGGCUUAACUGGGAGGGUGCGCCGGAAACUGGAGUGCUCGAACGUGGGAGAGGAAAGCGGAAUUCCUGGUGUAGCGGUGAAAUGCGUAGAUAUCAGGAGGAACACCGGUGGCGAAAGCGCUCAUCUGGCCCGAUACUGACGCUGAUGCGCGAAAGCUAGGGGAGCAAACGGG
rnacentral:rRNA from 1 species